AAUAAAUUCAGAAAAUCUAACUUUACACAAUUAGGCAUUUAGAAAAAAAAGAGAACUUUAAAUUGUCUAAGUGUGAAUAUUUUCUAUAACACUAUACCAAAACUCCGAAGUAGAACUUUCUGGAAGAUUAGCUUUCAUGAAAAGUCUAAAGCAAUGAGUGACUUUUUAUUAGUCUGUGUUAUACUUUGAAAUUGUUUAUGAGCUUAUGCUUUGAUCAUUUGGGAAAAAGUUGUCACAGAUCUUCAAAGUGUUGUAUUUAGCAGAUGAGCAGCUUGGUCUUCAUGUGGAUUCCCUUUUCCCCCAACACCCGGAGCAGGGGCUGUCCCUGAGCCUGUUGCCUGCCUGCCUAAAACAGGCUGCCUUGUCUGGUCUCAGUAGGAGAGGAUGUGCCCAGUCCCACAGUGACUUGAUGUGCUGGCGAGAAGGGGUAUGAGAGGUUGGCACCCAGAGGGAAGGUGGAAUAGGGGAGACUUGCGUGAGGGUCCUAGGUGAAAAGGAGGGGCUGGGAUUGGGUUGCAAAAUGAAUAAAUAAAAUUUUUAAAAGUUAAAUUCUAUCUACAAAAAAAUAUUGUCUUUCAUAAAGUUGAGUCCCAAAUCACAUAUGUUAGUCCCUCACCAUCUCAUUAGGAAGGUCUAGUUUGUAGAAAACAUUGCACAUGGGUGCAAGUGUGUGUAAUUUCCCAGAAUCUAAUUUACACUUGAAAGUUCUCAUUUAAUUGGUAACUUUUUUUAUUUAAAGGUAUAGGCUUAUUUUGUACACAUAAAAAAAAAAAUACAACUGCAUACCAAGUCUGAAUAGCCAAUGUUUGCCUGCUAAAGUUGUCUGACAAGUAAAAAGUACUGUCCUAUGGGGGCAAAAAAGAGUGACUAUGUCCACUUCCAAAUCAAUUAAUCACGUAAGUGGUUUGCUCCAGGACAGCCACAGUGUUUCCAUAUGAAAAUGAAGUGCUUUAGGGGCACAGACUGUCCUAUGACAUGGAUUAUUAAAUAAACAAGUCCUCUAGGGUCAAAGUUUAAAUAUUUUUACUGUUUCAUCAAGAUUAUUAUUAAAAUGUUGCUUACCUAAAAUCCUGGCACUUGGGAAGCGGAGGGAAAAUCAGGAAUUCUGGGCCAGUCUCGGCUUCAGAGAGUAUUUGAGACCAACCUGGGCUCUGUGAGACACUGCCUCAAAGAAUUAAUUCUUUUUUUUUAAGAUUUAUUUAUGUAUUAUAUGUAAAUACACUGUAGUUGUCUUCAGACAGUCCAGAAGAGGGCAUCAGAUCCUGUUAUAGAUGGUUGUGAGCUGGGAUUUGGAUGUGGUUGCUGGGAUUUGAACUCAGGACCUUCAGAAGAAUAGUCAGUGCUCUUAACCGCUGAGCCAUUUCUCUAGCCCAAACAAAGAAUUCUUAAAUUCUCAGUUUUAACCAGGAAUGCAUGUACUAAAGGGUAGAGUCACCAUAAAAUAACCUACAUUUGUGGCC
rnacentral:lncRNA from 1 species